UCCAGAUAAUCCUACCAGUCUAUAAAGCAUAUAAAACCUAUAAUAGAUCUUUCGGUUAGUCAUAACAUAUAGUUAAGUAUUAGACAUUAGUUUUAAGUCUUAAUAUUAUUAUUAUACUUUGAUAUUCUUUUAAUCACAUCAUAACUAUUAUUUAUAAGUUAUUCAUUUUUAUAUGUUAUCCUAGUAAAUUAGAUAACAUCUUAGUAAACCGAAAUACCAUUUCAGUAAGACGGAUUUUAUUUCAGUAUCCCGAAAUCACUAUUCUUUUUCACGAAAAAUACCAAAUCAACUUAUUAUUUUUUUUAUCCUUUGGUCAAACAUAUAUACAUGUAUUUCAUACAUAAAAAAUAUUUUUCCGUAAUUUUUCAAUUUCUUUUACUAUUUUUCAAAAAUCAUAAUUAGUGCGUGACUUAAGAAAAUUAGCUACCCCGUGCUUAACUCCAGAGAUGUCCAUCUUUUGGCAUAACCUUAUAUAUGUUAACGUGAUGCUCCAUUUUAAAUUUCGUGGCAAUCGGAG
rnacentral:lncRNA from 1 species